rnacentral:rRNA from 1 species
ACGGUAAAGCCGCGAAUGGCUCAUUACAACAGCCGUGGUUUCUUGGAUCUCCUAAUUUACUUGGAUAACUGUGGUAAUUCUAGAGCUAAUACACGCACUGAAGCUCUGACCUUUUGGGACGAGCGCAUUUAUUAGAACAAAACCAAUCGGGCUCAGGCCCGUGUUUGGUGACUCUGAAUAACUACGCUGAUCGCACGGUCUCGAACCGGCGACGUAUCCUUCAAGUGUCUGCCUUAUCAACUGUCGAUGGUAGUUUAUGUGCCUACCAUGGUUGUAACGGGUAACGGAGAAUAAGGGUUCGACUCCGGAGAGGGAGCCUGAGAAACGGCUACCACAUCCAAGGAAGGCAGCAGGCGCGCAAAUUACCCACUCUCAGCACGAGGAGGUAGUGACGAAAAAUAACGAGACGGAUCUCUAUGAGGCCCGUUAUCGGAAUGAGAACAAUCCAAAUCCUUUAACGAGGAUCUAGCGGAGGGCAAGUCUGGUGCCAGCAGCCGCGGUAAUUCCAGCUCCGCAGGUGUAUAUCUAUGCUGCUGC